AGCAUGAGCCACCACACUCAGCCUUAUUAUUUAUUUUUAAUACCAGAUGAUCAUCUCUAUUUAAAAACAGAAGUGAGUGAUAUGAUGUGUACAACAGUGCACAUACUGUAUCUUUACUGAGAGAAUAGUGGAGAAAUACCCUUGUUUGAGCCAUUUCCUGAACAAUAGGAUGGGCUGGUUUGUAAACCAAAACUUGGUCUCUGCUUUGGUGAAGCUGAGAAUGCAUUUUUGAUCUUAAUGUGGUAGUAGCCAACACAAAUGAAGGUGAUGCAGCAUUUUUACCUCAUUAGCAAUGCCUUAGGCUUAGCUGGUCAGGCUUCACCAGCUUGCAGUCCCCAGGAAGCUGACGUAAUAAGCGGCAGGUCAUGGGCAACACGGAUGUCAUCUUGGUCCAAGAUAUAUCCUUCCUGCUGUGUCUCAUAUUUGUUGUAGAAUGAUUCACAUAGAAAAACCAUUUUGAUUUUUCCUGUCUUUUAAAAACAAUACUUCAGUUUGUCUUAGUGCUUUCUAUAAAGUUGUAUCUCCAAUAUGCCAGUUUAAUUUUGUAGGAAACUGGAAUUUUAGAUGAAAGGCUUUCUAAUGCACAAAAGAACCUCAGCCCUCUCUCAGAAGCACAACAAACACACACAUAAACAACAACAAUAAAAGAGUUCCAAUUAGGAUUUUCAGAACACAAAUACCCAUUUAAAUGUACCUAACAUUUCUCUGCUAGAAGCCACUUUGAAUUAUUGUUCUUUUUAAAAGGAAAAUCCAAUAUAGCUGAAAGCUUGUGCUUUGUAAAUAUGAGAUGCUUCCCUGCAUUAUCUGAAAGAGGGAGAAAAACCAUGUCUUGCUUUUUGGGAUCUAACCUGUUUUAGCUGAUCACAAAAUCUUUAUUAAUUGCAUUUAUUAGCUAUAUAGCACUCCAAGGCCUUUGAAACUUUUUGGUUACAAAAAUAUGAUGAAAACAUUAAAUUGUAUAUUAUCUUGUAAUUUUGCAAAAAGCAUGUGAUUGAGUUGUGCCCUGCCAGUGACUUCUAAUAGGAGAGCAAGCAGUAGUCCUUCCUCACCGUUGAGAGUGGAGUCGGGGAGUUUCCUGCAGUUACAACAAAGCCCGCAUCAUGGGGACGGCGAGAGGAGUCUUGGCCAUAGAAUAGGUUUGGGUGUGAGCUGCACUUUCUGCCUUGCUAAGUGUCAGUUUUUCUGGAUUUUACAUUUGUCUUCCUAUAGCUUCAGCUUCCCUUCUUUCCUUUACUUCUUACUGUGACCUCCAUUCUCUUCACUUGGUGGUGAUGAGUAAUGAUGACCACACAAGGCCAUUUUCUACGGACACAGACUGAGGCAGUGAUGGGAUGGUGAAGCACCACGUAUAGUAAUCAGGGGGACCAUAGGCAAUAGCAGGGAGCCAGGGUGUGUACCCCGGCUCUGACUGACUGGCUUGGUGAUUUGGAGAGUUCUUAGGGACUGACUCAUGUGCCUGCAAAAUUCGUAGGUUGAAACCCUAAUCCUCAAUGUGACUGUAUUUGGAGGGCGCAGGCCUUGAAGGAGAUAAUUAAGGUUAAAUGAGGUCAUAAGGGUGGGGCCCUAAUCCAGUAUAACUGGUGUCAUUUUAAGGGGAAGAGACAUCAGACAUAAGCAUGCACAGAGAAAAGGCCACGUGUGAGGACAUAGAUAGGAGGCGGCCAUCUGCAAGCCAAGGAUAGAGGCCUCAGGAGAAACCAGCCUUGCUGGCACCUUGAUGUUGGACUUCCAGCCUCCAGAACUGUGAGAAAAUAAAUUUCUGUUGUUCAAGCCACCCUGUGUUAUUUUCUUAUGUCAGCAAUAGCAAUUGCUAAAUGCAAAUACAGGAGAAUAAUGAAGUCUCUCUAGGCUUCCCUUUCCCAUCUUGAAGAUGGGGCUAGAAAAUAUUUCUACAAUAGAGAGUUGUAUGAGAAUAAACAACAUAAUGUAAUUAAUAUAGUGCCUCAAUUCAUGCCUUCUCAUAGAUGGAGAAUUUAUGCCCACAAGCAAGCACAGGCUAGUGUCCAUUUUCUAAUAACUCAGCUUCUUGCUGAGUACUUAGCAUUAAAACAAAACAACACAAAUCAUUUAUACAUGUUAAGUUUCAAGUUUCCCACUUCAUUUUGUCUGGCUGAUGGCUCAUAGAAGACAAAAACUUAUGGCCCAGAUGACUUCUUCUGGAUCCAACUUGUGUUAUUUCUUUUCAAAAGUUAGUUAAACUCUCCAUAUAUUUUAGUGAUGUUUAUUGACUAGAAACACAAAACAAGGGGAAUCUGGCAAAUGUAAAAAAAAAAAAAAUUCUCAGCUGACCCAGCACAUGGAAUUGCAUUUACUAAUUUAGGCUCUUUUAUAUAGUAGAACAACAUAUUUGCAAAAUAAUGAUGGUAACUUGAGUUUAGCUGGCAUUUUUUGGCCAAGGAACUGAAGGUGUUUUCAAUACAUGACCUCAUUUCAUUUCUAAUUUACACUGAUCUAAGAGGUAUCACAUAUGCUUCUCUUCAUGUGAUAGCUAAGCAAAUGAAGACACAAACAUUUCUUUCUCAUAUACACAAGAGAUGUGGAUGGUAAGAGACUGGAAUGGAGGGUCUCCUGGCUUCCUGAGUAGUAUUCUACCAAAUUGUUUCUGAAGUUAUUAACCAUAUUUGCCCCAAUAUCUAUUGACAGAUAGAACAGCUGUGGGUAAACUGAACUUAUCUUAAAGAAAUGUGUAUUACAUAUUACACAUGUGCAUUACAACUGCAACUGUCCAAGAGCCUGGUGGGUUUCUCAUCGCCUCAACUAGACCAUCAGUGACUUGGGAGCUCUAUUCUACACAAGGCCACUUUCCUCCCUUUGGAGGAAACAUAUUCUAUUAGGUAGGGUGGGACGCUGAGCCAAAAGGGAUUAAGAUUGUGUUCCAGUUACCUACUGCUAACUAGCAAACCACACCAAAACUUGAUGGCGUAAAACAACCAUUAUUUGAUUAUAUCUGUGAUUUUGUUUGAGCAGGGCUAGCUGGGUGAUUCUUCUAUUCCAUGUAGCAUCCCUACAUGUAGGUCCCUCGCUGUUAGUCAGUCAGUGGCUGCUCUGGUCUGGAGGAUCCAAUAUGGCUUCACUUGCCUUCCUGGCACCUUGGCAAGGAUGUCUGGAAGACUGAGCUCCCCGCUAGGCCCGUCUGCCUCUCCAUGGAGCCUCGGAGCCACUCCAUAUCAUUUCUCUAUUAGAGUAAUCAUAUUUCUUAUAAGGAAGCCCAGGGUUCCAAGAGGCCAAGGCCAAAGCUGUUAAUCAUAUUAAGCACUAGGUUUGGAAAUGGCAUAAUAUCACUCCCAUAUUCAAACUCACUCCCAUACUUGAUUGGUCCAAGCAGUUACGGGCAACUCACCUUUAAAAGUGGGAAAGUGGGGGGCGUGGAAUAGACACAUCUGUCCAUGGAAGAAGGAUCAAAUAAUUUGUGGUCAUUUUUAAUCUACCACAUACGGUGUAUACCUCUGUGGUUUGCUGAGGUUUUUGAAAAAUUUUUUUUUUUAAUACACCUAAGACUUCAGUUUAAGCGCAUCUUAGUUUUGCCAGAAUUUGAAGUACUUUGGGAAUGGCUUGCUCCAUUUUUAUAUUAUGCAAACAUACACACACAUAUGUAUGUUUUUCCACUAAGAAAUGCCUCUAUUCACAGGGGCAUUGUUUAGUUUCUUCUAUCCUCAUUCUGUCCUUUCAAUUCAAUGAAUUAUCUAUUUGGUUUUAUUUUCUUCUUGCAAGGAAUGAUAAAACUUGAGGACUGUUUGUAAAAAUGAAUAUAAUUUGGUCUCUGUCAUGGAGGAACUGAGUCUAGGGGGGUGGACCCUCAUAGAUAUGGAUAACUGGAAAACAAAAGCUUAAAUAAUAAACUUGAGAAAGGCAUAGACACAUGAGUGGAGGCUUGAGUCAGCAGAGGAAAUCCGGAAACAUUGCAGAGAGGAAGUGGCACUGCGGCUGAGCCUUGAAGGAGACAGCGAUCUCUACAGAUGGGAGCUGGUGGAGUGGGGCUGGCAUCCUGGAGGAGGGGCAGUGAGAGUCCACGCACCAGAGCAGAUGGCCUGCCCCACUCCCAAAUGACUGGGUGCCUGGAACGUGGGGGCCAUGGUCACUCAAAGGGCAGGGGUGGGGUGGUCGUGAGGGAGGUGAGGCUGAACAGAUGGGUUGGGGACACGCGGACUUCGCUCUGAAUGCAGAUUUGUUCUGAAUGUUAUCGCCAUAGGAUGAUUUGUGGCAGAGAGUGCCAUGAUCAAAUUUCUGAUUUUUGAAUGCUGUUUCUAAUAGCAGAUUUGGGAUGGUUUGAAGGAGUGGUAGAUAAAAGGCUGAAAAACCUGUUGGAGGGCAGUAGUCCAGGAAAGCUGAAACUGAAUGCUAGAAUGGAAAAGAAAGGUUUUGAGAGGUGUGUUGGGGAAGGGGGGUUGGAGAAAUAACUUUCUGGUUGCCAAAUGUGUUCAGAUAUUCUGCUUAUCCUUUAUCUAAUUUUUACCAAAAUCCAUUUUUCAUAUGCAGUAACUGAGGCUUUGAGAUGUUUAAAAACUUCCUAGCCUGAACAGGAUUGAGAUUCAGAGCCAAGCAUGCUUGGCUGCAAACUGUCUAUGAUUUCUGAUGAAACCUUGCCUUACCCACUGAAAAUAACUCCAGGUGGGAGGAUUGCUGGAACCCAGGAGUUCGAGACUACAGUGAGCUAUGAUGGUGCCACUGUAUUCCAGCCUGGGUGGCAGAGUGAGUCCCUGUCUCUAAAAACAAAGACAGAAAGAAAGGAAAAAAAAGAAAAUAGCUACAGAUUUCUUACUUGUGAGACUGGGUGAAUGCUUGUGCCAGUAACAAAAUUAAGAACUCAGUAUUUUGCUUGAGGCUUUUGAAAAUGUUUUGCUUCUGAGUUGUUUGCGUAUAUGUGUGUGUGUCUGUGUCUGUGUGUGUGCGAUAUACUUCCAAUGUGAGUAGUUUUAUGAACACUUAAGGUUUUUAGCUAGUGUCUAUCAAUUCUAUCAACAGGAAUGUAACAGAUCAAAAAGUACUGUAAAACAUACAAUUCAUGUCAAUUUUACUGUCCUUAUUUUUUUGUGCAUAAAUUAUUCUUGGCCUCAUAACUGAUUUUAUUGCACAUUAGAAUCUUGUAAACAAAGAGCCUAUUGUACCACAGAUGGAACAGACCAAGACAUCAAGGGAGGGCUGGGAAGGAAUGGGGAGGAAAAGUAAAAAUGAGUCAGAGAAACAAUGUAGCAGUUCAUGUGGGAACUUCCUCUGAAUAGAGCUGCAUCCCUCCCCCACCUCUAAAUAAGUCACCUUUCUCAUUUUAAGAGCAAAAAGGCAAGAGAGACAGCAAUCUAUGUCUCUUAAAUUCUAUUUCUGUCUAAACCCUGGAGGCCAGGGUGUGGGUGGCUCCAAGGCUCUGCUUUCGUGUCCCCAGGUGAAUAGCCUGAUGCAGACCAGUAGCCACAUGGCCUUUGUGCCCAGGACUCAUGGGCAGCGUGAAUCUCACUUGAAAAUUCAAUCCUUGAUGCAGAUCGCCACGAGAUAUUGAAAUUAAUGGUGUUUGGCAUUGGUACGGUGUCCACUUGGUUUCAUUUUCACAGGUUUUCAGAGCCCUUGAGAAGUCCUGGUGAUGAUAUGGGAAGGAUAAGGGGGAAUCUGGCUUCUCCUUUUGGUUGCUGAGGCUCUGUGUUUACAACAGAGCCUGGCAUAUAUGAGGUGCUCAGUAAAUAUUUACUAAAUGCAUGAUUGCUUGAAUGCCAUGUGCCAGCUUCUGUUAAGUGCUUGCCAGCUGAUAUUUCACUUAAUCUUCAUAAAAAAUGAUGAAACCUAGUUCCCCAUUACACAGAUGAAGAAAACAAGGUCUAGAGAAAUAAUUUGCCCAAGGAUGUGCAGUUUGUAUGCUGGGAUUAAAAAAACCUUUGCCCUUUUGAGCGUACUGCAAAUAUUUUGGGUGAACUACAAAUGUUCAGUAUCACAAUAUUGUUUGGGUAUAAAUAAACACACUUCACACAUGCAAAAUAGAAGUUCUCCCAGUUUUUGAUAAUGUGAGAACUCUUAAGAACUCCCUGGACCGAGCACAUAAUUAAUAGGUGUUCAGUAAAUACUGAAUAAAUGAAUGAUAGCUUAUUCUCUCUAUUCUAAUACUUCAUAGUGGAGAAAAACAUGUGGAGGACUUGAAGACUUUUAGCUUUAAAUAAAAAUGCUAUUUUCAAGACAAGUUUCUUAAUACAGGCAGGUUGACAAAAAUGUCAAGCCAGUCAGUGAUAGCUGGUUCAUGGCCUCUGUCUUAUGCCAGUUUGGAUAUAUUUGGUGGAAAUGUAGUAUUGGAAAUAUUGUGGUAACUUUUCCCAUCUGGUUAAAAGUCUUCACUUCCCUCUUGUCACCAGGAAGGAACGUAAGCUUGAAGACGAGGUUGUGAAAUUUCCAGUUUUGCAGGUUGUACUUGCUGACCUACUAAGGAAAUGACCAUGGGACUGUAACAAAGCAAACAAAACCUCGGCUUCGUCUUCUCCUUCGUUUAAGCAGCUCCUGUACAUUGAAGGAGCUGAGAUGAGGCAGCGAAAGAUGGAGGGAGAGAGGAAAGGAGAGAGAGACUGAGGAGAGUGGGUUAUCAAGACCAAAAGAAGAUGAUCGUUUCCCAAGUGGAAGCUGCCUUGCAAUAGAUUCAUCUCUUGUGCUCUUGCCCUAAAUUGAAAUCUUCGUCCAUUUGUGUUUUGCAUGGAUGGGGAGGUGUGGGACAUGCUAUAUUUGGUAGUUUUCUGGCAGAUACAAUUUCCUGUUUCACUGGGUUUUAAAAUAAAACUAAAUAUACAAAUGUUUUCUCCAGGGUAUUGGGCUGUUUUAGGCUGUGCACUCUUGGUGGGCAAGGCCUGUGCUGCGGUUAGCUAAUAGUUCCCUGCUGGAUGAAGUUAAGCAAUGGCUCAUUUGUCAGGUGUCUCAGCAGUAAAAUUUCCAGAUAAACGCAAUCUACUCCAGUAAAUGCUAAAACUCCUUAAAAAAAAAAGUCACCUUGAUAGAAAUCAUCUUAAAAUAUUCUCUCAACUUCCUUUUCUCUGCAGGUAGAAAAUACUGCACAGAACGUAACUCUCUCUUGCUAUCUCGCUCAUCAUCAUGAGGGUAAAUAUUGUACCUUUAUUGUGUGAUGGUGUCAUUAGGGUUUGUUAAUAUGUGUGGAACUUGUCCCUAAACAUGAGCCGUCCCAACACUGCUGUGUACUUUGUGUUCUUUUAAAGUUUGUCAGGGUUCUCUUUUGCACUGCUCCCACUGUGUCAGUCCCCAGGAGCCUCUUGCUGCCUCGCCUCUUCUCCUAUUUUACGUCAAAUAACUUGUUGUGACUGAGGAAUGAGAUCACGCAGAUUAUCAUGGUGAACGUUAAGCAAGAACAAAUAGGCCCUGAAUGCAGACCAGGUGACCCCUUCCACAAGUUACCUCUUUAACUUGUGUGUGGAUGAGCGUGUGGACUUUCUGAUAUGUAUUUUGGCUUCUCAGAAGUGUGUCUGACUGAGGGUCCAUGCUGUAUUCUGGUUAGUUAAAGUUUCAAGAUAAAUGAGCUGUCAUUCUGUGACUCAUCGAGAACUGUUUUAAGCAGCUACACAGCCCUGGAGAAUAAGGGAUGUCUAAUCAUCUCGUUUCCUGUCCUGGUUGACGUCAUUGUCGCCGUCAUCAUCUUCAACUCCACUGCAUUAUUAAGUACCCCAAAGUGCGUAAGUUGUAGACAAAAUAUGUUCCAUAGACACAACCCUUGGUAUCUGGGAGUCUGCCUUCUUUAAAUAGGUAGCACCAGAAUGGGUCUAAGGCAGACUAAAGUAUUGAUUGCUCUGUGGUAGGUAAUAGAGAGCAUCAGCUAGUAAUUUGAAAGUACAAAUGCAAUAUCCCAAUUGCUGAGAGCCUGCUGUGUGUAACAGGAGCCCACAGUGUGUAACUGGGCGCUGAGACUACACAGGGAAAUAUUACCCAGUCCCUGUCCUUCAGGAGCUUGAUCCAAUGACAGAAAUGUGUAUGAAGCACUUAGCCCAGUCUGGAGGUCGGGAGUCCCUGCACAAAGUCAGAGUUAUUAGCUGGGUGAAGGGGAGGGAGGGGCCUUUCUGUGGAGAGGGUGGAGCCUGAGCAGAAAGCAGGAAGCUUCCUGCAGGGGUAGGAACAGUGCAGGUUCCUGCCUCAUGGAGUGCGUGGGUGACAGUGGAGAGGAACAUGGGUUCUCAGAUGUUAUUGGGGGGCUUGGAGGGUAGGGCAGAGGGACACAGGGCAAUGGAGUUAGACUUCUGUGUUAGGUGCCCCCUGGAAAGAAGAGGGGGCAAGAAGGGCAGUGAGGAGGAUGGAUUUGGGCUUGAACUAGGGCUGUGGUCUUAUCUCUAGAUUCUGGGGGCUGGAUUUGAGACAUGUGUGUGAAAUAAAAUUUAGAAAGCUUGCAGAGGAUGUAGGAGAUGAGAAGAGGGGACAGUUAAACCUGACCCUCAGCCUGGAGCGCAGGGUGGUGUUGCCAAUUGAGGGUCCAGUGGGAGAGGUAGAUGAAAGAUUCAGGUUUGGAUAUGCAGAUUUAACCUGUCUGUGGAGAUGCUCCAGAAGCAGUGGGGGGUCCAGACGAGGCUCAGUGUGAUCUCCAACAUGGGCAGUGGUGGGCCUACCGAUUUGCUCUGUGAAAGUUGGGGAGAGCAGCUGGGAUUUCUGGGAAUAGAUUAGGCAGGAAGAAGGAGAGGUUCUUCCUAUUCAGGCAAAUU